rnacentral:rRNA from 1 species
GACGGAGGGUGCAAGCGUUGCUCGGAAUUAUUGGGCGUAAAGGGUGCGUAGGCGGCUCCUUAAGUCUGACGUGAAAGCCCAGGGCUUAGCCUUGGAAGUGCGCCAGAAACUGUGGAGCUAGAGUGCCGGAGGGGAGAGUGGAAUUCCUGGUGUAGCGGUGAAAUGCGUAGAUAUCAGGAGGAAUAUCGGUGGCGAAAGCGACUCUCUGGACGGUAACUGACGCUGAGGCACGAAAGCGUGGGUAGCAAACAGG